AUAUCUUCUUAACUGCCACUGAAGGCUAAUGAAAAUGAUUUGGUCGCAGGGUUUUGUGUACAGAGCGGCGGUGGUUCACGAUUAUUUGAAAACGAAACAAACGACGGGAGCUAGUUACCGACUGCUAGCUGUUGAUGUGAAAGGUUCAACAAGAAGAGUAGGAUUUUAAUACGAAGCUCGGUUGUUAGGAGUUGAAUUAAACGGUCAGGCUAACGUUAAUAACCGUUGGAAUGCGGCGGGUUGUCACAUCUCUUUCUCUGACAGUCUAAUCUACUCUAGCAAACUAGUGCCAAACCGCUGUUGCUCGGGCAAUUGGCUGGUUAACAGCGGCAGCUCGGCGGGCCAAUCAGAGCGCAGCAGCAGAGGAGCUGUCUGCUAUUAGAGGCACGGCUCAGGAGUCCUUCAACAGAGAGCAGAGAGAGGGGGCCGAGCGCUCUCGGCAGCCAUUUUCCUAAAAACAGGACUCAAUGGCCUAUAUGGGUUUCCUUUGUUCCAAAAGGGAUCUUACACUUGAUUUCCUCAUCUCUCACGGACUAUGAUAAAACUAUGAUUCCUCCUUUUAAAGGAUUGAGAAGAAGGAAGAGAAUGUACUGGAUGUAAUACCCUGUGACAUUUUGAGCCUUUUUUCCUCUGCCUGGAAUCCAUCUUUGUCUUAACUAGGUCAUGGCACACCCAUAUAAUAGUAUUUAUAUUUCUUAAGUGAAAAGAAACCAAAUGUUGUGAAUAAACAGCUUUAUGGUUUUGGAGAUGUUAAAUUAGAGAAAGAAAAACACAGUUUAAAGUGACAAAAUGUGUAAUGGCUGAUUGUUGGCAUUGCACUUAUGGCCUUGUAGGAUAUGAGUAGCAAUGAGUAAGUUCAACUCUUUUAUAAUAAUUUAAUAGUUUUGAUAAUUUAGUAAUGUAAAAUGUGAGGCAUGCAGUUGCUGUUAUUAAAAGUAUUUUCUGUUAAUUUUUUCUACUGAGCUAUCAUCACUUUGAUCACAUAGAAAUUAUAGCAUUUGUAACAGGCAGCUUUAUUCAAAAUGUUCACUGGCAUGCUUCCACAUAAAUAUACAGCCUACAGUCCUGAUUAUAUACCAUUGCUCCUCAGAAGGUAGGCCAUGGAUAACUAAUGGCCCUUUUGCAAAAUAGUUUAUUGUGCUGCCUGCAAUUUUGACUGUUGAUUGAUAAUCCCAUCUGCUUUGAUUAAUGACUUUAAACACUUUCCUCUCACAACAGCAAGGCUUAAUACCCUGAUGACUUGUGUUGUGCCCUGCCUACAACUGUGGAGACAACUUGAGACACGAUUAGGUUUGUGCUGUCCAUUUGCCAUUUAAGAACCAAAUGCGUCCUAAGUGUAAACGCCAGCUUGACCUUACUUCAAGGGCAUAUUUAAAUUACUAAAGAAGCCCAGGCACGUAGCUUUUUUUUUUUUUUACGGUUUCUAUAACGGUUAAAAAAUAGACAGUCAAACCUAAGAGGAAACAGAUGGAGGGAAAACUCUCAUGGUGAAAAUAUUUACCUCAGCACUUUGGUGAAAUGCAGUUAACAGGCCUAAACGCAGGGGCAGGAGGAAUGUUUUCAGCUCCAUCUUCGGAUCCUCUAAUAAUGGCAUUAAUAAGGGGUGGGAUAGCGUCUCCUGAAAAGGAAGGAAUCCAUUAGCACGAAAGAUAGAGCUCUUUUGAAAACUUUUUGAUCAGUGGUAGGCAUUGCCUCUCUGCCAGCGAAUAUGCAUCUUCAAGCAUCAUCUGUGUGGGCAAUAUGCAAACCAUCUCCUCUCUCUCUCCUUGAAGACAGGAUUGCAGUCAAGUAUAACCUCUUCCAUUUCGACAUUUCUAACAGAGCUACAUCAUAUUAAACCACAAGGAAGUGUUGUUUUGAAAGGUAAUGGAUUUUGAGCUAUUUCAUUUAAUUUGCCAAUUUGUACGUGUACGUGUAAGUAUUCUCAUAGAGGACAGACAACAUGAACAAUAAUAAAUCGUGAUUAAAACGUUAUCAACAAAACUA